CGAACGCUUGCGGCGUGCUUAACACAUGCAAGUCGAACGAGAAAGUUCCCUUCGGGGGACGAGUAAAGUGGCGCACGGGUGAGUAACGCGUAGAUAAUCUACCCUUGUGUACGGGACAACAUCGGGAAACUGGUGCUAAUACCGUAUACGUUUCUCUUGUAGCGAUACAUAAGAAAGAAAGAUGGCCUCUCCUUGGAAGCUAUCGCACGAGGAUGAGUCUGCGUACCAUUAGCUAGUAGGUGGGGUAACGGCCCACCUAGGCGACGAUGGUUAGCGGGUCUGAGAGGAUGAUCCGUCACACUGGCACUGGAACACGGGCCAGACUCCUACGGGAGGCAGCAGUGAGGAAUUUUGCACAAUGGGGGAAACCCUGAUGCAGCGACGCCGCGUGAGUGAUGAAGGCUUUCGAGUCGUAAAACUCUGUCAAUAGGGAAGAAAUGUAUGACGGUUAAUACCCGUUGUAUUUGACGGUACCUAUAAAGGAAGCACCGGCUAAAUCC
rnacentral:rRNA from 1 species